AUACGGAGGAUCCAAGCGUUAUCCGGAUUUAUUGGGUUUAAAGGGUGCGCAGGCGGAAGAUUAAGUCGGCGGUGAAAUUUUGCAGCUCAACUGUAAAAGUGCCAUCGAUACUGGUUUUCUUGAGUGUGGAUGAAGUAGGCGGAAUUUGUGGUGUAGCGGUGAAAUGCAUAGAUAUCACGAGGAACUCCGAUUGCGCAGGCAGCUUACUAGGCCGUAACUGACGCUCAGGCACUAAGGCGUGGGGAUCAAACAGGAUUAGAUACCCUGGUAGUCCACGCAGUAAACGAUGAUUACUCGCUGUUUGCGAUACACAGUAAGCGGCUUAGCGAAAGCGUUAAGUAAUCCACCUGGGGAGUACGUUCGCAAGAAUGAAACUCAAAGGAAUUGGCGGG
rnacentral:rRNA from 1 species